UCCAUACAGAACAUAUUAAGUGCUGAUACUGUGAGAAAGAGCAGUACAGAAAGAGGGAAUCAGGUGAGAAACCUGAGCGAUCCGGUCACUGUAACAGAGGAGCAAAUCUCAGAAUGUCCAUUGUGCCAUAGCAUGAGAAGGAGAGAGGAGCGAUGAGCCUGGAGCCAGGAAACCUGCUUGGUAUGGCGAGGUUAA
rfam:Ruminococcus sp. CAG:9 genomic scaffold, scf273